GUGCUCGCUUCGGCAGCAUAUAUGCUAAAAUUGGAAUGAUACAGAGAAGAUUAGCAUGGCCCCUGCGCAAGGAUGACACACAAAUUCGUGAAGCAUUUCAUAUUUUU
rnacentral:snRNA from 1 species